GACAAAGAACGUAGCGAAAUGCGAUAAGUAAUGUGAAUUGCAGAAUUCAGUGAAUCAUCGAAUCUUUGAACGCACAUUGCGCCCCCUGGUAUUCCGGGGGGCAUGCCUGUCCGAGCGUCAUUACAACCCUCAAGCUCAGCUUGGUGUUGGGCCCCGCCGCCCCGGCGGGCCCUAAAGUCAGUGGCGGUGCCGUCCGGCUCCGAGCGUAGUAAUUCUUCUCGCUCUGGAGGUCCGGUCGUGUGCUCGCCAGCAACCCCCAAUUUUUUUCAGGUUGACCUCGGAUCAGGUAGGGAUACCCGCUGAACUUAAGCAUAUCAAUAAGCGGAGGA
rnacentral:misc_RNA from 1 species